rnacentral:sRNA from 1 species
GAGAGAAAGACAAAAAAAAUGUAAAACAAUUAAACCAAGUGGAAGAAUUCAAAAUUGGAUAUACAUUUUAAAUCAAGUUUUCUGAGAAGAGUGGGAAAAAUGAAUCUAUAUGUCAGAUAAUAAAAUAAAGAUUUAACCACAUAGCAUAUGUUAUUGAUCAGAUACUUAGCACCACAUUUCUGCUUUGUUACACCCUUUUUCUCUCUCCCAUCUGGCUAAAAAGCGUAAGAACUUUGGAUAGUCACAGCUUAUGCAAUGAACAUCGCCUCUCACAGAUGGCACCUCAUUAAUUACGACUUGCAACAAAUAGUUUUCUCAACAAGAUUGUUGUUCGUCUACACAUGCAGGACAACUAGUUGUGCCGUGUUUUUAUAUUUCACUGGGAAUUGUGGAGGAAGAAAAUACUAAUAUUUACCCCUAGGCUGCCCCUUGCUCUCCUACAAUGUUUAUUAUAAUAUUCAAAGUACUAUGUAGGGCUGCAGUCAUUCUGACAAGUGUUGAAGUUGAGAACCACUUUGCUAAAUGGCUUCUAAAAGUACGUUCACUUCUAAAUCCCUUAAAAGACACCAUCGAAGCUCCUUCAGGAAGAAGUCGAGAUAACCUAAGUGUCCCUGUAGCUGUUAAAGAGACGAUCUCUCAAUGCAACCUCAACAGGAACUUUCCUGUACAGGGCUUUAAAGACUCCAGUCCAUCUUUCUGAACCUCUGUGAGAUAUCUAUAGAGAGCCUCACAACAGUGAGUGAUUAAUAUGUACUAUGUACCUGAUGCAUACAAUUUCAUAAAACUAUUGGUUAGUUCCCAGGUUAAAUCUGUGCUUAUUAAACUAGCCGGGGAAGGGAUCUUGGAACCAGUCUUAUCAAUAAUACUGACCAUGUCAUUGGCAUUUUACAUGGAGUAAGGGAACGAGGCUUAAGCAUGUGUGUCAGUCUGCAAAGGAAGUAGCUGAGGCUAGUGGUCUGUCAUAGAAAUGGACCAUCCUCAACUCCUCACCUAACCUUAGAGUGGGAUAGUUUUGGUCCUGAUAGUCCCUGACAGAAUUCCAAAUGAGGGGAGGAGACACCCUUCAAGUCUUUGAGUGCAAAGACCUCAUCUUCUUAGUACUGUUCUCUGAUUGUGACAAGUCUUCCUAGUGCUAACACCCUCGAAGCUCAUUAAAACGCAUUUCUCUCAGGUCUCUAGCAGUCUUCAUUAGCAGGAGCAGGUGAGGACAGCUGGAAAAAAUCUGAGGCAUUCAGCUCGCCACUCAAAGACUCCACUAUGUGCACGAAAUUUGAAGCUAGAGCCUUCUGCUUUUUCUACUUAAAAUAACCGUGUGAAUCUUGCAAUUAACCCCAAAGAAAAAUCUGUAUUUGUUUUAACAUAAAACAUGGGUUUCUCACGUCGUCAUAUAUAGCAGCUGUUCUGGGACAGGGGCCAAUAUUUUAGCUCGUGUUUUUCCCAGGGGUGUCUGCAUGUUUCAGCUGAAAGCAGAAGGAACAAGUUCUGAUCUCCCUCUGCCCUACUGGCUUGCCUACCUGCCUUUCCCCUGGCACAGGUGUGAAGCUUCAACUUGACCUGACUGCAGCUAUCUUGUCAUAAGAAUCAUUACCAUACCCAGGGACUCUGGCAAACUUUCUCCACAUAGCUCCCCAGAGUCUAUAAAUAGCGUGGUCCUAGAGUUUUAUGACCAAGAUUCUAGACCCAUCAGCACUGGGAAUGUGUCCAGUGUCCUUGGUAUUAGCUGGAGACAAAUCAGCUCCACUUGGCUUGGUUGAAGUCCUAUACUGGCCAUUCUAUCUUCCCCCUUCUAAUCCAAUCCAUGAGCAUUGACCUGUCUUGCUAGUCAAGACGCAAUUCCUUACCAAUGCGCCCAAUAAGUUACACAAUCCUGGGUUUGUCUGCCUUUCUUUGGCCUUGCUGCACCUUAGUGCUGGUUCUCUCACAUGGGACCAGCUUUUCCUUGAACACCAGGGCCCAGAUCUCUACCCAAGCACCACCCAGUGGCAGCCUUGGUUCCUUUACCGAAAUUUGCCUGGUCUGUUUCUUUCCCUAAGGACCAUGCCAACCACUAUCUAAUCAGGAUAAGUUUGUUUCUUCCUUUCAAGAAAAAGACUUUUGUGUUUUCACUUAAGACUCAAGGUGUUGUGACAGACGUAUGGGAGAGAGACGUACAGGAAGGAGACCUGAGAACAAGAUAGGUAUCAUGUCACCCCUAAAUGCAUACCACGCCUUGGAAGGACACAUGUAGAUGACAGUAAAGUUAUCGUUGCAGAAAGUUGUGGAACCUGCCUUGGUGGUUUUGUUUUUGUUUUGUUUAGUCAACUCGAUACAAGGUUGACUGGGAUACCUGGGAAAAGAGACCUCAAUUGAGAAAACGUCUCCGUCAGACUGCCUGGAGGGACAAUUGGUGUUCAUGUGGUUGAAUGUGUGCAUCGUUCUGCCUCCUGGAACAGACUUGUAUGUGGAAGUAACACAGGUCAUGGACCCAAUUCAUUCUUUCUCAACAUAUUCCUCCUAUUCCUACCCUCUGACCACAGCUCAUGGAACCAAGACAGCUAAGUCACUGGCUGCACAGCACUAGUCUUGUUCUGUCACAGGAUGAUGUGAUUGCAAGACAGAGUCAAGUAGCUGCGACCCUGGAGAAGAGUCAGAAAACAUUUCCAUCAGUGUCUUCCCUGCUUGGAAGUCAUAUAAGCUCUUUCGAUGUCACAUUAGUACCUUUUCUUAUUACGUAAGAGGUAUUCUCAGUAGAAGGCUGUAUUGAAUAUUGAUACCCUUCCCCUAUAUUAUUCAAGACCCUUCAACAUUGCAUUUACUACAUGUGCCCACCAUGGUGCAGUCUGCCAUGCUCUUGGACAGCCACAUUGCUCUCACCACAGGCCCAACAAAUGGGACCUCCAAGAUCAUGAGAUAAAUGAACCCCUUUUCUUUAUAAAGUACCUAGUCCUUAGAUGUUUGGUUAUAGGAACAGAAAACAGACACCUAUGUUGGGUAAUCUUGGUAUGAUAUAAUAUCACCUUAACUAAUUUCAUCUGUAGGGACCCCGUGUCCAAAUAACAUCACCCUGAAGGUUCAAGGGGAGAGGAAUCCUGGAGGGUGCUGGAUGCCAAUCCAGGAGACGAUGCGCACAGGGAAGUAGUGCUCUGCCUGUCCGAAGGAAGCCUGCCUCUCCAUCGCUGUUAUCGGGUUUACAGAAGAACCAUUGACUAAUAGCCGAGUAAUCACCAUAGCAACCAAGGAACCCAUCAUCUGAACCAUAUCCCAGAAGCACACACAAGGUCAGCAGAGGACACGGAAUGCUUAUCCCAGACUCCAGGGGGCAAAACCGGACUCUCAGCCAGGCACCGGACCAACAACAUGUCUUUAAAAUUAACUUCAUCUCCGAAAAUAUUAAUGGUUAUCUUUAAUAAAAUGAGACAAGUUUGGGGUCUGGCAGAGGACAGAAGGCACAAUUAUAUGUUUACCCAUCUCAACCUUUCUCCAACAGUUCUGUGGAGAAAAGUCACAAGGUUUCAGAGGCAGGCAACCAGUUCACACAGAGUACCCUGAGACCUCUUCUCUCCUGUCAGGGGACCAUUUUUUUUCUUUUUUUUUUCUUUUUAACAUGAAAUGUUUUGAUUAUGUUAGUAUUCAUAUAUAUUCCAU